rnacentral:tRNA from 1 species
AUACCUCUGUAGUUUACCCGAAUACUCAACUUGUAAUUGAGAGGAGGCUAUAGCCCGGGGGUA